rnacentral:rRNA from 1 species
AUGAACGCUGGCGGCGUGCCUAAUACAUGCAAGUCGAGCGAACAGACGAGGAGCUUGCUCCUCUGACGUUAGCGGCGGACGGGUGAGUAACACGUGGAUAACCUACCUAUAAGACUGGGAUAACUUCGGGAAACCGGAGCUAAUACCGGAUAAUAUAUUGAACCGCAUGGUUCAAUAGUGAAAGACGGUUUUGCUGUCACUUAUAGAUGGAUCCGCGCCGCAUUAGCUAGUUGGUAAGGUAACGGCUUACCAAGGCAACGAUGCGUAGCCGACCUGAGAGGGGGUUGGGCCCACCGGGACAUGGGAACCGUGCCAACUCCUCCGGGGGGGAGCAGUAGGGGAUCUUCCGCAAUGGGGGGAAGCCUGACGGGGCAACGCCGCGUGAGUGAUGAAGGUCUUCGGAUCGUAAAACUCUGUUAUUAGGGAAGAACAAAUGUGUAAGUAACUAUGCACGUCUUGACGGUACCUAAUCAGAAAGCCACGGCUAACUACGUG